AUCAACUUUCGAUGGUAGGAUAGAGGCCUACCNNNGUGGUAACGGGUAACGGGGUGUUAGGGCACGACACCGGAGAGGGAGCCUGAGAAACGGCUACCACAUCCAAGGAUGGCAGCAGGCGCGCAAAUUACCCAAUCCCGACACGGGGAGGUAGUGACAAUAAAUAACAAUACGGGGUUCUUUCGGAUUUCGUAAUUGGAAUGAGUACAAUUUAAAUCUCUUAACGAGGAACAAUUGGAGGGCAAGUCUGGUGCCAGCAGCCGCGGUAAUUCCAGCUCCAAUAGCGUAUAUUAAAGUUGCUGCAGUUAAAAAGCUCGUAGUUGAAUUUCGGGACCAAUAUGUCGGUCGUGCCUCGGUACGUACUGGCAUCGUUGGUUUCUCCCUUCUGACGAACCAUGAUGUCAUUUAUUUGGUGUCGUGGGGAAUCAGGACUGUUACUUUGAAAAAAUUAGAGUGUUUAAAGCAGGCUCACGCUUGAAUACAUUAGCAUGGAAUAAUGAAAUAGGACGUUUGAUUCUAUUUUGUUGGUUUCUAGGAUCGACGUAAUGAUUAAUAGGGAUAGUUGGGGGCAUUAGUAUUCAAUUGUCAGAGGUGAAAUUCUUGGAUUUAUUGAAGACUAACUACUGCGAAAGCAUUUGCCAAGGAUGUUUUCAUUAAUCAAGAACGAAAGUUAGGGGAUCGAAGACGAUCAGAUACCGUCGUAGUCUUAACCAUAAACUAUGCCGACUAGGGAUCGGAUGAUGUUAAUUUUUUAAUGACUCAUUCGGCGCCUUACGGGAAACCAAAGUGUUUGGGUUC
rnacentral:rRNA from 1 species